CAACUUUCAGCAACGGAUCUCUUGGCUCUCGCAUCGAUGAAGAACGCAGCGAAAUGCGAUAAGUAAUGUGAAUUGCAGAAUUCAGUGAAUCAUCGAAUCUUUGAACGCACCUUGCGCUCCUUGGUAUUCCAAGGAGCAUGCCUGUUUGAGUGUCAUG
rnacentral:rRNA from 1 species